rnacentral:lncRNA from 1 species
AAAAUGGUGAAGUUUUGUUACUUUGGAAACUUGGCUACUAGCAAGACACCUCAUUCGUCAACUCCCUCGAUCGGAAACUUGGGGGACUUCUACCAUAUGCUACUGCACCUUGAAACUCGGAAGUCUCAUGACCACUCAGUGACUUGGAUUUUUUCAAGUCUCCAACCGAGAAGUUUUUCUCACUCGGGAAAUUAAGGGAGCACUACCUCAACCUACAUGCUUCACUCACAAAGCUUCAACAUACAAGAUUCAACAAAAGGAAAAAUUCAAAGAACUUAGUGAAGAAGGCUUUGAUGUAUUUAACACAAUAUGUUGAAAUGAAGUAAAGCUUGUUUAUUGAUAUCUCCGAUAAGUUACAAAUAUGUACAUAUACAUGAAUCAAAAUAAACAAACAAGAUGGAGCCUUCACAAAGGUUGCUCAGGAGAAGUCUCAGCAGUAGGCAGAGCCCCAGAAAAAUGAGGCACCAGAAGGUGAUUAUUCGGAGCCUCAGUGCUAGGCAGAACCUCAGAAGGAGGAGGCACCGAAGGUUGAUCAUUUGGAACUUCAUUAUGCGGUACAGCCCCAGAAGAUGAAGGCAAUAAAUGCCUUUG